AUUGAACGCUGGCGGCAGGCCUAACACAUGCAAGUCGAACGGUAGCACAGAGAGCUUGCUCUUGGGUGACGAGUGGCGGACGGGUGAGUAAUGUCUGGGAAACUGCCUGAUGGAGGGGGAUAACUACUGGAAACGGUAGCUAAUACCGCAUAACGUCGCAAGACCAAAGAGGGGGACCUUCGGGCCUCUUGCCAUCAGAUGUGCCCAGAUGGGAUUAGCUAGUAGGUGGGGUAACGGCUCACCUAGGCGACGAUCCCUAGCUGGUCUGAGAGGAUGACCAGCCACACUGGAACUGAGACACGGUCCAGACUCCUACGGAGGCAGCAGUGGGGAAUAUUGCACAAUGGGCGCAAGCCUGAUGCAGCCAUGCCGCGUGUAUGAAGAAGGCCUU
rnacentral:rRNA from 1 species